CGUCAUCAGUUUUGGAAGGAAAUAGUCAUCAGUUUUGGAAGGAAAUAAGUCUCGUCCGAGUUUCAACCAAUCAAAUAGAUAAUCCAGCCAAUCGGAAAGAAGUCUCGCUCCUCCGACGAGCGACGCCGUUGUGCCCCGGCCCCGACGCUCCAUGCCGCCGCCCCGCCCACGUUGUGGACCUUCGAGCGACGCUGCCGCGGAUCUGCAAGCGAUGGCGCUGUCAUCCGGCCAGCCUUCAACUGCGAGAUUGGACAUCAGUCCUUCGCGCCUGGUGGAUCGUCGCCUCUGUCCUUACCGGUGGGAUCGGACCCCCAGCCUCAACAGCGGGAUCGUAGUUGGCGGCCACCGCCAUCCUCACCUGCGGGAUCGGACACCACUGCCACAAGGCUAACUGAUAAUAUGAACUUAUACCUGAGAAUGAGGGGGAGUGUGACACUUCCAUUAUAGAUGGCGUACCUGUCAAAAACGCCUAGUCUGAUGAUAACAUAUGCAAGAUUAGAGUUAGCCUUGCCCACAAGUUGAAAGAGCUUUUUUUCCAUUGUGAAGUCCGCAGUCUUCUCCUUUCAACCAUGUUGUCACAGAUGGCUUCGCAACCAUUGCAUCUCGCCAUUGUGGAAUAAAUGCCAUCACGUGAGAAUGAUAGUGCAGGUUCAGUGUUACAAAUGCGGAUUAAGCUCGAAGUCCUUUAGCCGCCAUUAUUCUGUCUGGGACAUAAGAGGCCAGAUAGUGAGACUAUCUUGGAUGCAAGAGCCAGGAGCUGAACUGGGGAACUUCUUUGGUCGCCAGUGUUGGUGCACACAAGUCCCAAAUUUGCAUCCGCGUUGUAAUUUUGCAUUGUUGGAAUAGUGAGUAGGUGAUAUAGCUGUCAGAUUUUGGAGGCAUCAUGUAAAACUGGUAAACUUUUGGUGUUGAUGAAUUGAAACUUUGUACAUUUUUAUUUUGUCGAUGGUAAAGCUGCUAUAUUGAAACUUUGUCAUCACUU